rnacentral:lncRNA from 1 species
AUACUUUCAUAAUCAUCCAUCAUAUUUCUCAAGAUCUUUUUCGCAACCCAGUUAGGAGGCACCUCUUCUCCUUUUCAUUCUGAGUUGGUUGACCAUCUUUUGUACUCGAGCUAUAAACUAACUCCCUCCUUUUCAUCCAUCUCCAUAUGUUUAAACUCUUUUGAGAGCUUGUACUCAGGUUUGCCUCAUGCGGAUAUCAUCUUUGUAUGCCACCUCCAUAAUUUCUU